rnacentral:misc_RNA from 1 species
UUAAGUUCAGCGGGUAGUCCUACCUGAUUUGAGGUCAGAUUUGUCAAAGUCAAGGGUUUGUUAUCCCCCAAGACGUAUUAUCUUCUUUUCUAUAGGAGCUUCCACUCUACUCAUAGUUUUCACAUCUAACGUAGAUAAUUAUCACAUUAGUGUUACUGAGCUAUGAUCCAUUAGAAAAGCUCAUCCAUUCAAGAGGAGCC